GGCCUUGACAUACUAAGAACUUUCCAGAGAUGGAUUGGUGCCUUCGGGAACUUAGAUACAGGUGCUGCAUGGCUGUCGUCAGCUCGUGUCGUGAGAUGUUGGGUUAAGUCCCGCAACGAGCGCAACCCUUUUCUAUUUGCCAGCGGGUCAUGCCGGGAACUUUAAGGAUACUGCCAGUGACAAACUGGAGGAAGGCGGGGACGACGUCAAGUCAUCAUGGCCCUUACGGCCAGGGCUACACACGUGCUACAAUGGUCGGUACAAAGGGUUGCUACCUCGCGAGAGGAUGCUAAUCUCAAAAAGCCGAUCGUAGUCCGGAUCGCAGUCUGCAACUCGACUGCGUGAAGUCGGAAUCGCUAGUAAUCGCGGAUCAGAAUGCCGCGGUGAAUACGUUCCCGGGCCUUGUACACACCGCCCGUCACACCAUGGGAGUUUGUUGCACCAGAAGUAGGUAGUCUAACCGCAAGGAGGACGCUUACCACGGUGUGGCCGAUGACUGGGGUGAAGUCGUAACAAGGUAAGCGUAGAUGA
rnacentral:rRNA from 1 species